AAUAAAUUUCAAUUGCGCAGAAGGUUUAUCAUAUGGUGUAUUUUUUUACACAUGCAAAUGUUUUGGAUUGAGAGGUAGGGAUGAACACCGAACUCUCGACGCUUCUCAGUUAAAAAUAGGAAAAGAUGAGGAAGGUUGGUAUAUACAGUUUUUGGGUAGGGAAAGCAAAAAUCACAAAAAUGGCAUAAGACAAAGACAUGUAGAAAAUAAAAAUAUCAAACAAAGAGUUAAUCUAGCAGACCCUAACAAAUGCAUUGUUAGAUUAUUUGAUACUUAUCUCCUACACAUCUCUCCAACUGGACCAUUUUAUAAGCGCCCACUUGCUCCAUCAGCCACCGAACAGAUUCGUUUCAGCAGCCAGACAAUAGGCAUUCACUCUUGGCAACUAUAUGAAUCGAAUGUUCACAGCAGCUGGACCGCCAAAUAAAUACACGAACCAUUCUGGAAAGGUAACCACGGCAACCACUUUGUUCAAUGAAGGUUUAGAGAAGGACUUGGUAAAAUCUCGCACAGGACACCGAUCAGAUGCAGUGUUGUUUUAUAGACGACCGAACAAUGGGACACUGAAAAGAAUUUCAGACAUACUGUAGCCACCGACGUCAUCAAAACUCCAAAAAUCGGAUGAAAAUGCAAGUGUCGAUAAAGCCGAGGAUGGAAAAUCAGCAGAAAAGAACACAACAGAAGUUCAUGUCAACAAGGGCGACGUCCAAAUCACAAUAAAGCUAUAAACUACAUGCAUAUUCG